GACAAAGUAGAACGCCACCUUAAAUUCACUUGCAGACUAAAGUCAGCGUGGAAUUAUCCGAGCCCCACGUCAAUUCUAUCUAGGUGCGAUCUUAUUCCCUUGAAAUGACACCAGCAGCGUCUUAAUCCUUUUGCCAGGACAUGCCAGCCGAGUCCCGAGGACAAUGCCCGGCCACGCGUUUUAAUUAAAUUCUUUUGUCGCAUACAGGCGGCGGGCAUGCAAAAAUCCAACACUCGAACGGGGGCAAAGGGAACGGAAAACGAGAAAAGCGAAAGGAAAGCGCCAGAGUCAGUGGCAGCUGGCUGGGAAAGCGGAAAAUUAAUAAAAAUGCAGAGGAGGAAGCUCGCUCCAGCGAACGCCGAAAUGGGCAGCCAAUCAUAUGUGGGCGUGGCGCCAGCAGAAUGUAAUAAAUGCGCAACUGCGCAUUGUUAGAUGAAUCCUGUGACCCCUACUACGGCAUUGAUUGCAAUCCAUUCAGGCCCAGACAAGCUCUCUCCUCUCACUGAAUCCUCAGCUGAAUCCUCAGCUGCUGUUCAAUUUGCCGUAUUCUAAUUGAGGGCGUCUGCAAAUACAAACACCAGACCACAAGUAACACACAUGCCU
rnacentral:lncRNA from 1 species